UUCUAGCCCCGAUUGAAGCGAAAAUCCUGUCAUUGCUAAAAAAAUAUUGCUGUUUUAUUGUUUUGUUUCUGCAAUGACAGAUUGUAGUGUAAAGCGGGAGAAUGU
rnacentral:sRNA from 26 species